UGAAUAUGGGGGGACCAUCCUCCAAGGCUAAAUACUCCUGACUGACCGAUAGUGAACCAGUACCGUGAGGGAAAGGCGAAAAGAACCCCUGUGAGGGGAGUGAAAUAGAACCUGAAACCGUGUACGUACAAGCAGUAGGAGCACCUUCGUGGUGUGACUGCGUACCUUUUGUAUAAUGGGUCAGCGACUUAUAUUCAGUGGCAAGGUUAACCGUAUAGGGGAGCCGUAGCGAAAGCGAGUCUUAACUGGGCGCUCAGUCUCUGGAUAUAGACCCGAAACCGGGUGAUCUAGCCAUGGGCAGGUUGAAGGUUGAGUAACAUCAACUGGAGGACCGAACCGACUAAUGUUGAAAAAUUAGCGGAUGACUUGUGGCUAGGGGUGAAAGGCCAAUCAAACUCGGAGAUAGCUGGUUCUCCCCGAAAGCUAUUUAGGUAGCGCCUCGGACGAAUACUACUGGGGGUAGAGCACUGUUAAGGCUAGGGGGUCAUCCCGACUUACCAACCCUUUGCAAACUCCGAAUACCAGUAAGUACUAUCCGGGAGACACACGGCGGGUGCUAACGUCCGUCGUGGAGAGGGAAACA
rnacentral:rRNA from 1 species